rnacentral:rRNA from 1 species
UACAUGUGGGGCAAGCGUUGUUCGGAAUUACUGGGCAUAAAGGGUGCGUAGGCGGCUUGUUAAGUCAGGGGUGAAAGUUUUCGGCCCAACCGGAAAAUUGCCUUUGAUACUGGCGAGCUCGAGUGCGUGAAGGGGUAACCGGGAACGAGUCGUGUAGCGGUGAAAUGCGUAGAUAUGACUCGGAAGGCCAACGGCGAAGGCAGGUUACUGGUACGCAACUGACGCUGAGACGCGAAAGCGUGGGGAGCAAACAGG